rnacentral:piRNA from 1 species
UGUGACAAGAGGUGCACUCAUAAAUCACAGA